rnacentral:rRNA from 1 species
GACGAACGCUGGCGGCGUGCCUAAUACAUGCAAGUCGAGCGAGUCUGCCUUGAAGAUCGGAGUGCUUGCACUCUGUGAAACAAGAUACAGGCUAGCGGCGGACGGGUGAGUAACACGUGGGUAACCUGCCCAAGAGAUCGGGAUAACACCUGGAAACAGAUGCUAAUACCGGAUAACAACAGAUGAUGCCUUUCAACUGUUUAAAAGAUGGUUCUGCUAUCACUCUUGGAUGGACCUGCGGUGCAUUAGCUAGUUGGUAGGGUAACGGCCUACCAAGGCGAUGAUGCAUAGCCGAGUUGAGAGACUGAUCGGCCACAUUGGGACUGAGACACGGCCCAAACUCCUACGGGAGGCAGCAGUAGGGAAUCUUCCACAAUGGACGCAAGUCUGAUGGAGCAACGCCGCGUGAGUGAAGAAGGGUUUCGGCUCGUAAAGCUCUGUUGUUGGUGAAGAAGGACAGGGGUAGUAACUGACCUUUGUCUGACGGUAAUCAAUUAGAAAGUCACGGCUAACUAAGUG